rnacentral:tRNA from 1 species
GGAAGCGUAUCGGUGCCGGUGUGCCGCCUGGACUUCAAAUCCAGUGUACGGGGCUGAUAACCUCGUGGGUGGGUUCGACUCCCACACGCUUCCGCCA